rnacentral:lncRNA from 1 species
AUGUGACUCUUCAAAGGCAACAAUCAAUGUAACUCUUCAAAAGGAAAAUGGUUCACCAUCUCUAACCGUCGCUUUCACUUUCCCCACACAUCCGAAACUCACGACAAUCAACCAUUACCAUUUCCUCUCCAAUGAAUCGGCAAGUGAAGCUUAAAAGUUAUCGAAUCGGCCAGUAAUCUUCUUUGAUAAAGGCUUCAAUCCCUCUGUCUAUGAUAUCGGUUUUGAAGUUCAUGUGGUGGCGCUCAGUUUUUGGUGGAACGCAACCAGGACUCAGAUGGUGAUUGCCAUUCGAACACACAUUAAAGACAGGUCCUGUGGGUGAAUCGGGGAGAAGGGAGAUGGUAGAAGCCCUAGCCGCCGUCGGAUGGUUCCGGUUGAUACAUGUAAUCUUCAUGCCUGUCUUCUUUGAGAAUACGUGUGUGUGUUUUUUCAUAAUUGGCCAGCGAAAAAGGGUCCGUUAGGGACGACAUGGAUCGCGGCGCAUCUCGAGAGGAAGCUUAGGAAAAAUCAGGCUGCUGAUACUGAUAUUGGUGUCUCUGUAGAUGUAGUCUUGCAAGCAAUAUUGCUAGAAUGGAUGGCGGGAUCACCGAAAGUCGCAAACAUGUAAAAGACGGUUUUUUCCAGUAUUUUUAGCAUUGUUUGAUGCUCUUCUGAUGCGUUCUCAGGUA